GUGUCUGGUGGGUAGUUUGACUGGGGCGGUCUCCUCCUAAAGAGUAACGGAGGAGCACGAAGGUUGGCUAAUCCUGGUCGGACAUCAGGAGGUUAGUGCAAUGGCAUAAGCCAGCUUGACUGCGAGCGUGACGGCGCGAGCAGGUGCGAAAGCAGGUCAUAGUGAUCCGGUGGUUCUGAAUGGAAGGGCCAUCGCUCAACGGAUAAAAGGUACUCCGGGGAUAACAGGCUGAUACCGCCCAAGAGUUCAUAUCGACGGCGGUGUUUGGCACCUCGAUGUCGGCUCAUCACAUCCUGGGGCUGAAGUAGGUCCCAAGGGUAUGGCUGUUCGCCAUUUAAAGUGGUACGCGAGCUGGGUUUAGAACGUCGUGAGACAGUUCGGUCCCUAUCUGCCGUGGGCGCUGGAGAACUGAGGGGGGCUGCUCCUAGUACGAGAGGACCGGAGUGGACGCAUCACUGGUGUUCGGGUUGUCAUGCCAAUGGCACUGCCCGGUAGCUAAAUGCGGAAGAGAUAAGUGCUGAAAGCAUCUAAGCACGAAACUUGCCCCGAGAUGAGU
rnacentral:rRNA from 1 species